rnacentral:rRNA from 1 species
UACGGGGGGGCAAGCGUUGUUCGGAAUUACUGGGCGUAAAGGGCUCGUAGGUGGCCAACUAAGUCAGACGUGAAAUCCCUCGGCUUAACCGGGGAACUGCGUCUGAUACUGGAUGGCUUGAGUGUGGGAGAGGGAUGCGGAAUUCCAGGUGUAGCGGUGAAAUGACGUAGAUAUCUGGAGGAACACCGGUGGCGAAGGCGGCAUCCUGGACCAUUACUGACACUGAAUAGCGAAAGCCAGGGGAGCAAACCGGG